GUGAUAAACUUAUAUUCGCUAUUAAUUGUUUGAUUUGGGGUUAAAUUGACAGAUUAUAAAUAUUGAAAUCGAAACUAGAUUUGUUUAAUAGAAGGCCACUAUUAAAAAGCUGAUAGCGUUACAAAUACUAUGGUACUAAUAAGCGUCAUAUGGAUCGUAAGACACAUGCACUGAAUGAGCAUUGAUUAUGCGAGCGAUCGUGGGAAAGUCAAAAACUAGAAAAUAUAAAAAUAUUCGGCAGCCCAAUAAGGCCAACAAAAUUUUCAUCUACCAACAACGAACUCUCACGGACUAAUUAGGCGCUAAGACAUGGACUUCAGUAACUUCAACAAAAUGCUACCAAUGAUAUCGUGGGAUGGUAGAAUAGAUAUUUCGCUGCCUCCCGUUCGUUGCAUCAGACUGUAGCGGCGACUGAAGAGUCAUUUUCAAAAAAAAAAAAAUAAUAAAUAAAAAAAAAAAACUAAAAUUGUAAACAAAUACAAACGAUAUACAUAUCGGCUUUGUAAAUUGGUUUUUUAUAACCGAAAGUUAAAGUAAAGCUUUUACUUCGGGAGUUGCCCAAUUGCUAAGCGGAAUCAGCUGCAGCAGGGAGGCUUAGGAAAGCUGCAAUAUCAGCUGUUCUGCAUUUCCGGUAACCUAAAUGGCAUGUAGGUUGUUCCAUGCUCGGUCUUUUCUAUCGAACCCCCACCAAGUGCAGACGCCUAAUAAUAUCUCUCUCUGUAUAUAUAACAUCUCAAUGGUUUUAUCAGCGCAAGUGCAAAGUGGUUAUUUUUUUUUGUUAUCCCCAAAUACCAAGUAAGUCGCAGAUUAUGCGUAUGUUUUUAUUGUGUUUACAUGCAUACGCUUAUCUAGAUUUGCAACGGUGAUAAGGGCAGCCUAAGCCUGUGUUUGUGGGUUUUUUGUUUUUGUUUCGCGGCUUUAUAAAAGCGCGACCUCGUUGCGGCCUUAUCAAAAUUUAUCAGAUUCAGGCGGUCCACAUCAAAGCACCCCGGGAGCCCUCCUGGUGGAGGCUCCCAGAUCAGGAGCGGCUAAACCUCGAUCGGCUUUUAGUGAAGUGAAGAAAACGGAAUUUGGAAAAUAUGAAGAUAAUAUUUGUUUUUUAAACUUUCGCGAACAAAAAAAAUGGUUAUCAGUAAUCCUCGUGCGUAAAUAAGUUUGUUUUAAAAUUCUACGGUGUACAAAGCCCUCAUUACACUCAUUUACAGCAACCCAAAGCAGAGAUCGAUCUUUCGCCGAUGGAUUUACAGUGAGUGGUUUAUUUACCUUUUACAUAUACACUGGGAAAA